CUGAAGUCCGGUCUGUGUGAAUGUAGAUUGUUUACCUCUCUCUCACCGGCGCGUGGCCUGGCCGUCGCGGCAACACGGAAUGGGCUUCUCUCUACAAAAUCGGGGACCUCAGUCAGCAAAGUGGCGAGUGAAGUGGGAUGUGGCCUGCGAAGAAGGAGAGGGAAUGUACAGAACAGGAGAAACGGAGCUGGAGAUGGAGCUUGCCACCCGGCCCAGCCAGGACUGCGAGGAAGGACUGGAGGGAGUGUAGGAGGGUUGCCUGGCCUGGUCUGAACCACCGACCGCUGCUGCUACCGGUGUGGUGAGCUUGACCAUUUGGCCCGCAACUUCCCUCGGCCGGCAACCCGAGCCAGACCCCUACCGCGGAUUGUUCCAGUGACAGGACCACCACUCCAGCCUCUCCAUCAUCGGUGUGCCCUGGUCAGGGGCCUGUAUUUUGGCUGCAGUCCCGAUUGAAGCCUGGUAGACACUUGGUCGACCAUCUCCCUGGUACCUUUUUGUGUCCUACUAGGGGCAUGGAGGCCAAACAACGUCCGGCUGAGACGUGACGAGGGGGAGACCAGGAUGAGGCUGUUUGUCUGGGAGUGUGUGUGGUGUGUCAGUGUUUUGGGCACGAGAGUUGCAAACUGCUUUGAUCCUGGUCUCCCGUCAGGUCAUUCCCAUGCUGUUCGCCACGAUAUUUUGAAUAUAAAUAUUUAAAGACUUUUAUGGUAUAUAAUUAUUCUAGCAAUGCAUAUCGCUAUAAAUCCAAAAGUCUUAACUUCUCGUCCCAUGUUAAAAAAAAUAAUCGGGUUUGUCGUCUACUGUCUGCCUGAUUCCAUGUGAACCCAGCAAGAGCGAGUCGGUCCUGAUAAUAUCAGACUCAAUUAUUUGCCCUCCAGACCCAACAGAGGGCGCCCAAACGUCAUGUCUUGAGACCCCCUCAACAAAACAUGAUAAUCAGUGCCAACAUCAGCCUAACAAUUUUGACUCAUUUGGUUUUAUUACCAUAUUUAUUAUUUUAAGAUUUAUUUAAUAGCCGUAUUUAUUUUUUCAUAGGCAUAUUCAUCUAUGCAUUUUUUUAUUGAUCUAACAUUGACUUAAAUGGCCUAACAUAGAUUAUACGCUAACAUUUAUCGGGAAAUUAUAAGUGAUGAUUAUUAUAUAAUAAUAUAAUUAGGUGACCUUGGGUGUCUUGAAAGGCGCCUCUAAAUUAAAUGUAUUAUUAUUAUUAUUAUUACGAUGUAUGGUUGCCUGCAAUUGUAUGGUUAUCUGACAGUGUGCACAUUUGUGUGUGUGUAUGUUUAUGUCUGUGUAUGUUUAUGUGUGUGGGUGUGUGUGCGUGUGUCUUUUUGUAUGUGGAUGUUUGAUGUUUGAUUAGUGUGUUUUGUGAAAGAGAAAACCACUUAAACUCGAUUCUGUGGCAGGUUUAAGUAGCAAACAUUCUCAGUUCCAUUCAAAAUAAAUCAAUUAAGAAUAAACAGAACACUCCACACACGAGUGAGAUGCCUUUACUCAGGAAGAACCAUAGUAAUAUAAUCCGGAGAACAACCACGACAUACUCCACACAUAAGUCCAUGCAGCACACUUUCACUUUCGCUUUCGUGCAGGAGGUCCUCACCUUGACUCCAACCCCGAAGCUGGUGUUUUCAGCAGUUCUGACCGCCCCUGCCCCCCUCCACAAUGUCUCCAGGCAAACAGAGGACUGGCCGGAUCCACACCUCACCUGAACUCUGGAAUAGGGUGUAUGAUAGACGCGCCUGCCUCAUCUAAUUGUUCAAUAAAACCUUCAUUCCGA